UACGUAGGGUGCAAGCGUUAAUCGGAAUUACUGGGCGUAAAGCGUGCGCAGGCGGCUUUGCAAGACAGAUGUGAAAUCCCCGGGCUUAACCUGGGAACUGCAUUUGUGACUGCAAGGCUAGAGUACGGCAGAGGGGGAUGGAAUUCCGCGUGUAGCAGUGAAAUGCGUAGAUAUGCGGAGGAACAUCGAUGGCGAAGGCAAUCCCCUGGGCCUGUACUGACGCUCAUGCACGAAAGCGUGGGGAGCAAACAGG
rnacentral:rRNA from 1 species